rnacentral:rRNA from 1 species
GGGUUGUGAGGUUAAGCGACUAAGCGUACACGGUGGAUGCCCUGGCAGUCAGAGGCGAUGAAGGACGUGCUAAUCUGCGAUAAGCGUCGGUAAGGUGAUAUGAACCGUUAUAACCGGCGAUUUCCGAAUGGGGAAACCCAGUGUGUUUCGACACACUAUCAUUAACUGAAUCCAUAGGUUAAUGAGGCGAACCGGGGGAACUGAAACAUCUAAGUACCCCGAGGAAAAGAAAUCAACCGAGAUUCCCCCAGUAGCGGCGAGCGAACGGGGAGCAGCCCAGAGCCUGAAUCAGUAUGUGUGUUAGUGGAAGCGUCUGGAAAGGCGCGCGAUACAGGGUGACAGCCCCGUACACAAAAAUGCACAUGCUGUGAGCUCGAUGAGUAGGGCGGGACACGUGGUAUCCUGUCUGAAUAUGGGGGGACCAUCCUCCAAGGCUAAAUACUCCUGACUGACCGAUAGUGAACCAGUACCGUGAGGGAAAGGCGAAAAGAACCCCGGCGAGGGGAGUGAAAAAGAACCUGAAACCGUGUACGUACAAGCAGUGGGAGCACGCUUAGGCGUGUGACUGCGUACCUUUUGUAUAAUGGGUCAGCGACUUAUAUUCUGUAGCAAGGUUAACCGAAUAGGGGAGCCGAAGGGAAACCGAGUCUUAACUGGGCGUUAAGUUGCAGGGUAUAGACCCGAAACCCGGUGAUCUAGCCAUGGGCAGGUUGAAGGUUGGGUAACACUAACUGGAGGACCGAACCGACUAAUGUUGAAAAAUUAGCGGAUGACUUGUGGCUGGGGGUGAAAGGCCAAUCAAACCGGGAGAUAGCUGGUUCUCCCCGAAAGCUAUUUAGGUAGCGCCUCGUGAAUUCAUCUCCGGGGGUAGAGCACUGUUUCGGCAAGGGGGUCAUCCCGACUUACCAACCCGAUGCAAACUGCGAAUACCGGAGAAUGUUAUCACGGGAGACACACGGCGGGUGCUAACGUCCGUCGUGAAGAGGGAAACAACCCAGACCGC